rnacentral:rRNA from 1 species
UACGGAGGGUGCAAGCGUUAUCCGGAAUUACUGGGCAUAAAGGGUGCGUAGGUGGUCUAUUAAGUCAGGGGUGAAAUCCCGCGGCCCAACCGUGGAACGGCCUUUGAUACUGAUGGACUUGAGUGCGUGAGGGGUAGGGGGAACGAGCAGUGUAGCGGUGAAAUGCGUAGAUAUUGGGAGGAACACCUGUGGCGAAAGCGGCGCACUGGACCACAACUGACGCUGAGGCGCGAAAGCUAGGGGAGCAAACAGG